AACACGACUCUCGGCAACGGAUAUCUCGGCUCUCGCAUCGAUGAAGAACGUAGCAAAAUGCGAUACCUGGUGUGAAUUGCAGAAUCCCGCGAACCAUCGAGUUUUUGAACGCAAGUUGCGCCCGAGGCCUUCUGGCCGAGGGCACGUCUGCCUGGGCGUCACGC
rnacentral:rRNA from 3 species